rnacentral:rRNA from 1 species
GACGAACGCUGGCGGCGUGCUUAAUACAUGCAAGUCAACUUGACUUUAGAUAGCAAUAUCGAAAGUAGGGUGGCGCACGGGUGCGUAACGCGUAGGUAAUCUGCCCUGAGGUCUGACAUAACCCGUCGAAAGGCGGGCUAACAUCAGAUGAUAUAUAAUCACGACAUCGUGGAAAUAUCAAAUCUUCGGAGCCUUGGGAUGAGCCUGCGUCUGAUUAGGUAGUUGGCGGAGUAAUAGCCCACCAAGCCUACGAUCAGUAGCUGGUCUGAGAGGAUGAUCAGCCACACUGGAACUGAGACACGGUCCAGAUUCCUACGGGAGCAGCAGUAAGGAAUAUUGCUCAAUGGGGGAAACCCUGAAGCAGCAACGCCGCGUGAAGGAUGAAAUACUUUUGUAUGUAAAACUUCUGUAAGAUGGGAAAAAUAUUCUCCUCGGGAGAAUUGAUUGUACCAUCAGAGUAAGCCCCGGCUAACUACGUGCCAGCAG